rnacentral:rRNA from 1 species
GGCUCAGAUUGAACGCUGGCGGAAUGCUUUACACAUGCAAGUCGAACGGCAGCACGGGAGCUUGCUCCUGGUGGCGAGUGGCGAACGGGUGAGUAAUGCGUCGGAACGUGCCGAGUAAUGGGGGAUAACGCAGCGAAAGUUGUGCUAAUACCGCAUACGCCCUGAGGGGGAAAGUGGGGGAUCGCAAGACCUCACGUUAUUCGAGCGGCCGACGUCUGAUUAGCUAGUUGGUGGGGUAAAGGCCUACCAAGGCGACGAUCAGUAGCGGGUCUGAGAGGAUGAUCCGCCACACUGGGACUGAGACACGGCCCAGACUCCUACGGGAGGCAGCAGUGGGGAAUUUUGGACAAUGAGGGCAACCCUGAUCCAGCCAUUCCGCGUGAGUGAAGAAGGCCUUCGGGUUGUAAAGCUCUUUCAGCUGGAGUGAAACGGUGCGCUCUAACAUAGCGCGCUAAUGACGGUACCAGCAGAAGAAGCACCGGCUAACUACGUG